UACGUAGGUGGCAAGCGUUGUCCGGAAUUAUUGGGCGUAAAGCGCUCGCAGGCGGUUUCUUAAGUCUGAUGUGAAAGCCCACGGCUCAAUCGUGGAGGGUCAUUGGAAACUGGGAGACUUGAGUACAGAAGAGGAGAGUGGAAUUCCAGGUGUAGCGGUGAGAUGCGUAGAUAUGUGGAGGAACACCAGUGGCGAAGGCGACUCUCUUGUUUGUAACUGACACUGAGGCGCGAAAGCGUGGGGAGCGAACAGG
rnacentral:misc_RNA from 1 species